UGUAUUUAUUAGAGUUUUCACCAACUGCCUUCGGGUAUUCGGUGAGUCAUAAUAACUUCUCGGAUCGCACGGCCUUGCGCUGGCGACAGGUCAUUCAAAUUUCUGCCCUAUCAGCUUUCGAUGGUAAGGUAUUGGCUUACCAUGGCAUUAACGGGUGACGGAGAAUUAGGGUUCGAUUCCGGAGAGGGAGCCUGAGAAACGGCUACCACUUCUAAGGAAGGCAGCAGGCGCGCAAAUUACCCAAUCCUGACACAGGGAGGUCGUGACAAGAAAUAACAGUAGAUGGACUUAUGUCUUAUCUUACUGGAAUGAGAACAAUUUAAAAUUCUUAUCGACGACCCACUGGAGGGCAAGUCUGGUGCCAGCAGCCGCGGUAAUUCCAGCUCCAGUAGUGUAUACUAACGUUGUUGCAGUUAAAAAGCUCGUAGUUGGAUUUCUGGUUUGACGUCGCGUCUCGGCUCCUCGAGAGUUAGAUGACUGCGAAACGUCGAAUCAUCCUGUCACAAUCUCUUUCUGGCUUUAAUUAGUCGGACUGAGCGAGUGGCUCGUUUACUUUGAGAAAAUUAGAGUGUUCAA
rnacentral:rRNA from 1 species